UACGGAGGGUGCAAACGUUGCUCGGAAUCAUUGGGCGUAAAGCGCACGUAGGCGGCUCGUUAAGUCGGGUGUGAAAGCCCUCGGCUCAACCGAGGAAGUGCAUUCGAAACUGGCGAGCUUGAAUAUGGAAGAGGGUCGCGGAAUUCCCGGUGUAGAGGUGAAAUUCGUAGAUAUCGGGAGGAAACACCAGUGGCGAAGGCGGCGACCUGGGCCAUAUUGACGCUGAGGUGCGAAAGCGUGGGGAGCAAACAGGAUAGAAACCC
rnacentral:rRNA from 1 species